UUCUGCCGCAGAAAGGACUAUCCUCCCCCAGCGGAGUACGAGUUUGCUGGUUUCGGUGAAGAGCCCUCUGCAGACACUGUUGUUUGCCCUGGAGGCAGCGUUAUCAUUUCUCCAUCUGGAGAAGUCUUGGCAGGUCCCAACUACGAGGGGGAGGCGCUGAUUACAGCCGAUCUUGACCUGGGAGAAAUUGUUCGAGCCAAGUUCGACUUCGAUGUUGUGGGCCACUAUGCUCGGCCUGAGGUCCUGAGCUUGGUAGUGAAUGACAAACCGCAGCUCCCUGUGUCUUUCACAUCUGCCGCUGAGAAGACUUCAGCUGCAAAGAAUGACAGCAUCGCUAAGUCCUACUGAAUAGUACGGAUUGAUGAUGAGCACCGGAAUCUGUUGUGCCUAGGAGAAGAUGGUCCAUGUCUCCUGGUGGCUGGGUCUGUCUUGGAUGGGAGUUGUAACUUUUGAACUCUACCUCUCUAAUGAGUGUACAAGAAGGGGCGGGGCGAGGAGGGGGACGAGCUUAUGCUUCUUGUAAAGACUUGCAGAAGGAAUGCACAGUGUCUCAAGGAUCUAGGCAAGCUGUGCCCUCUCAACAAAAUCAUCCUCGCAGUUGCUUCUCUUUUAUCUUCCCGUGCCCUUUUAUAUUACCAAAGCGAAUAUUCGUUUCUCGAG